rnacentral:rRNA from 1 species
AAGACCUUGCGCUUUUGGAGCGGCCGAUGUCUGAUUAGCUUGUUGGUAAGGUAAAAGCUUACCAAGGCUUCGAUCAGUAGCUGGUCUGAGAGGACGGCCAGCCACACUGGGACUGAGACACGGCCCAGACUCCUACGGGAGGCAGCAGUGGGGAAUUUUGGACAAUGGGGGCAACCCUGAUCCAGCCAUGCCGCGUGAGUGAAGAAGGCCUUCGGGUUGUAAAGCUCUUUCAGCCGGAACGAAACGGUUACGGUUAAUACCCGUAACUAAUGACGGUACCGGAAGAAGAAGCACCGGCUAACUACGUGCCAGCAGCCGCGGUAAUACGUAGGGUGCGAGCGUUAAUCGGAAUUACUGGGCGUAAAGCGUGCGCAGGUGGUUUUGUAAGUCAGAUGUGAAAGCCCCGGGCUCAACCUGGGAACU